GAUGAACGCUAGCGGCAGGCCUAAUACAUGCAAGUCGAACGGGAUUGAGGAGCUUGCUCCUCAUGAGAGUGGCGCACGGGUGCGUAACACGUAUGUAACCUACCUUAAUCAGGGGAAUAGCCUCUCGAAAGAGAGAUUAACACCGCAUAAAAUCACACUAUGGCAUCAUAGAAUGAUCAAAUAUUUAUAGGAUUAAGAUGGGCAUGCGGAACAUUAGCUAGUUGGUAAGAUAACGGCUUACCAAGGCUACGAUGUUUAGGGGAUCUGAGAGGAUGGCCCCCCACACUGGUACUGAGACACGGACCAGACUCCUACGGGAGGCAGCAGUAAGGAAUAUUGGUCAAUGGGCGAAAGCCUGAACCAGCCAUGCCGCGUUCAGGAAGACGGCCCUACGGGUUGUAAACUGCUUUUGUACCGGAAUAAACCUUUAUACGUGUAGGAAGCUGAAUGUACGGUAAGAAUAAGGAUCGGCUAACUCCGUGCCAGCAGCCGCCGUAA
rnacentral:rRNA from 1 species